rnacentral:rRNA from 1 species
CUCCAAUGGCGUAUACUAAUAUUGCUGCUGUUAAAACGCUUGUAGUCGACCUCAGAGCGUGGGGCUGCAGGGCGGCCCGCGCCGACGGCCCGAAGGGCGGCCUCGCGUCGCCCGACGGACUGUCGGUCGUGGGAACUCAACCCCCUGCAGGAUGCCCCCGCGCUCGCCGCACGUGGGACCGAUCGCACCUGCUGCAAGCGUACUUCAUUGGACGCCGACGCGGUUUCGCCCGCAACGCGGGCACGGGAAUCAUGCGCCAUUCGUGCCGCACCCGCCCCCGGUGCCGUCCACGGCUGUCACCGUGAACAACUCAGAGUGUCCAAAACGACCGACUAUUGGCUGUAUGCUUCCGCAUGGGAUGACAAAGGAUCGACCAGAUGGGCUUUUGUAUUUUGCUGGCCUUAAUGCCCGUCAAGGGCAAUGCGGCGUUGGCCCCCCCCGGCCGGGCGCGUCGGCUUCGGCCGGCGGCCCGCCCGACCGGGGGGGUGUAGUGCCGACCGGCAGUGACGGGAGCGCUCGUGGUGAUGGGUAUUGACGCGCUAGAGGUGAAAUUCUUAGAUCGCCUUGGGACCUUCUGCAGCGAAGGCGUUUUGCAAGGGCAUGUCCGUCGAUCAAGAACGAGAGUGUGGGGAGCGAAGAUGAUCAGAUACCGUCGUAGUCCACUACCGUAAACAAUGUCGGCUCGGCGUCGGCGGUGUAUUCUGUUUCCAAGGACACCGCCGGUUCCACUCUUCUGCAACGAGAAAUCAAAGCUUGUGGGUUCAGGGGGGAGUACUGUCGCAAGGCUGAAA